AAUAAGUUAUAUAGAAGGUAAAAUAAGUUAAAUAGAAGGUGAAUAAAAUGUAAAAUAAGAUAAACAGAAGGUAAAUAAAAGGUGAAAUAAGUUAAAUAGAAGGUAAAUAAAAGGUAAAAGGAGGCCAAGUAAGUUAAACAAAAUGUAGAACAAGUUAAAUAAAAGAUAAAACAAGGUAAAUAGAAGGUUAGCGGAGAUAAAACAAGGCAAAAGACGUUUAAGGAAGGUAAAUAGAAGGGAAUUAAAAGGUAAAAUAAGUUAAACAGAAGGUAAAAUAAGGUAAAUAAAAUGUAAAACAAGUUAAAUAGAAGGUAAAUAAAAGGUAAAAUAAGGUAAAAGUAGUCAAUAAAACUUCAAAUAAGGUAAAUUAAAGGUAAAGUAAAUGAAAAGUAAAAGACAGAAUAUGUAAGGUUAAAUAGGAGGUAAAUAUAAGGUAAAAUAAGUUAAAUACAACGUAAAAAAAGAAGGUAAAGUAGGUUAAAUAAAAUGUUAAAUAAGUUUAAAUAAAGCUAAAAUAAGUUAUAUAGAAGGUGACUAAAUUGUAAAAUAAGAUAAACAGAAGGUAAAUAAAGGGUAAAAUAAGUUAAAUAGAAGGUGAAUAAAAUGUAAAAUAAGAUAAACAGAAGGUAAAUAAAGGGUGAAAUAAGUUAAAUAGAAGGUAAAUAAAAGGUAAAAGGAGGCCAAGUGAGUUAAACAAAAUGUAAAAGAAGUUAAAUAAAAGAUAAAACAAGGUAAAUAGAAGGUUAGCGGAGAUAAAACAAGGCGAAAGACGUUUAAGGAAGGUAAAUAGAAGGGAAUUAAAAGGUAAAAUAAGUUAAAUAGAAGGUAAAAUAAGGUAAAUAAAAUGUAAAACAAGUUAUACAGAAGGUAAAUUAAGUUAAAUAGAAGGUAAAUAAAAGUUCAAAUAAGGUAAAUUAAAGGUAAAGUAAAUGAAAAGUAAAAGACAGAAUAUGUAAGGUUAAAUAGGAGGUAAAUAAAAUGUAAAACAAGUUAUACAGAAGGUAAAUUAAGUUAAAUAGAAGGUAAAUAAAAGGUAAAAUAAGGUAAAAGUAGUCAAUAAAAGUUCAAAUAAGGUAAAUUAAAGGUAAAGUAAAUGAAAAGUAAAAGACAGAAUAUGUAAGGUUAUAUAGAAGGUAAAUAAAAGGUAAAAUAAGUUAAAUACAACGUUAAAAAAAAGGCAAAAGAAGGUAAAGUAGGUUAAAUAAAAUGUUAAAUAAGUUUAAAUAAAGCUAAAAUAAGUUAUAUAGAAGGUGACUAAAUUGUAAAAUAAGAUAAACAGAAGGUAAAUAAAGGGUAAAAUAAGUUAAAUAGAAGGUAAAUAAAAGGUAAAGGGAGGCCAAGUAAGUUAAACGAAAUGUAAAAGAAGUUAAAUAAAAGACAAAACAAGGUAAAUAGAAGGUUAGCGGAGAUAAAACAAGGCAAAAGACGUUUAAGGAAGGUAAAUAGAAGGGAAUUAGAAGGUAAAAUAAGGUAAAUAAAAGGUUAAACAAGUUAUACAGAAGGUAAAUUAAGUCAAAUAGAAGGUAAUUAAAAGGUAACAUAAGUCAAACAGAAGGUAAAAAAAAAAAGGUAAUAUAAGUUAAAUAGAAGUCAAAUAAAAGGUAAACAAAAGAUAAUAUAAGUUAUCAGUUAAUAGUUAAGUGAAUAAGUUAUACAGGAAAAUACAACACUGUACUUUAACCAAGUCAUUGUUUGGUGUACCAGUUUGUGUAAGUGCUGCCAUCUAGUGUGUAGUUAGUGACACUACAUGAUCAUGAAUAUAUACUGUAAGUGCUGCCAUCUAGUGUCUUCUUAGUGACACUACAUGAGAAUAUCAUCAUAAAUAUAUACUGUAAGUGCUGCCAUCUAGUGUGUAGUUAGUGACACUACAUGA